rnacentral:rRNA from 1 species
GCGAGAACACAUGAUCAACUUACCCUAUAGAGAAAAAUAACCUCGGGAAACUGAGGAUAAUGUUUCAUAGUUGAAUUGGCUUGGAAAAGUUUUUCGACGAAGGGGUAAAAAAAAUGGUUUUUAUCUGCUAUAGGAUAGGAUCGUGUUCGAUUAUGGUUGUUGGUGAGGUAAUGGCUCACCAAGCCGAUAAUCGAUAGGGGCCGUGAGAGCGGGAGCCCCGAGAUGGGUACUGAGACAACGACCCAGGCCUUACGAGGCGCAGCAGGCGCGAAACCCCCGCAAUACACGAAAGUGUGACGGGGUUACCCAAAGUGUUCAAUUUUGAACUGUGGUAGGUGAGUAAUGUUCCCUACUAGAAAGGAGAGGGCAAGGCUGGUGCCAGCCGCCGCGGUAAAACCAGCUCUUCAAGUGGUCGGGAUAAUUAUUGGGCUUAAAGUGUCCGUAGCCGGUUUAGUAAGUUCCUGGUAAAAUCGGGUAGCUUAACUAUCUGUAUGCUAGGAAUACUGCUAAACUAGAGGGCGGGAGAGGUCUGAGGUACUACAGGGGUAGGGGUGAAAUCUUAUAAUCCUUGUAGGACCACCAGUGGCGAAAGCGUCAGACUGGAACGUGCCUGACGGUGAGGGACGAAAGCCAGGGGAGCGAACCGGAUUAGAUACCCGGGUAGUCCUGGCCGU